rnacentral:rRNA from 1 species
CCUACGGGGUGCAGCAGUGGGGGAUAUUGCACAAUGGGGGGAACCCUGAUGCAGCGACGCCGCGUGGGUGAAGAAGCGCCUCGGCGCGUAAAGCCCUGUCAGCAGGGAAGAAAAUGACGGUACCUGGAGAAGAAGCCCCGUCUCACUACGUGCCAGCAGCCGCGGGAAUACGUAGGGGGCAAGCGUUAUCCGGAUUUACUGGGUGUAAAGGGGGCGCAGACGGCGAUGCAAGCCAGGAGUGAAAGCCCGGGGCCCAACCCCGGAACUGCUCUGGAAACCGGGCGGCUAGAGUGCUGGAGGGGCAGGCGGAAUUCGUGGUGUAGCGGUGAAAUGCGUAGAUAUUAGGAGGAACACCAGUGGCGAAGGCGGCCUGCUGGACAGUAACUGACGUUGAGGCUCGAAAGCGUGGGGAGCAAACAGGAGUAGAUACCCUUGUAGUC